rnacentral:rRNA from 1 species
UGGGGAAUAUUGCACAAUGGGGGAAACCCUGAUGCAGCGACGCCGCGUGAGUGAAGAAGUAUUUCGGUAUGUAAAGCUCUAUCAGCAGGGAAGAAAAAAGACGGUACCUGACUAAGAAGCCCCGGCUAACUACGUGCCAGCAGCCGCGGUAAUACGUAGGGGGCAAGCGUUAUCCGGAAUUACUGGGUGUAAAGGGUGCGUAGGUGGCAUGGUAAGUCAGAAGUGAAAGCCCGGGGCUUAACCCCGGGACUGCUUUUGAAACUGUCAUGCUGGAGUGCAGGAGAGGUAAGCGGAAUUCCUAGUGUAGCGGUGAAAUGCGUAGAUAUUAGGAGGAACACCAGUGGCGAAGGCGGCUUACUGGACUGUCACUGACACUGAUGCACGAAAGCGUGGGGAGCAAACAGG